rnacentral:rRNA from 1 species
GUACACGCUGUGACUAGCAUAUCAAUAAGCGGAGGAAAAGAAACUAACAAGGAUUCCCUCAGUAACGGCGAGUGAAGCGGGAAGAGCUCAAAUUUGAAAUCUUGAAAGGUCACCUUUCACGAAUUGUAGUUUAAAGAAGUGUUUUCUGUUACGAUCGUAAUAUAAGUUCUUUGGAAUAGGACAUCACAGAGGGUGAGAAUCCCGUCUAUGAUUGCGAUUUGUAGCUUUGUGAUACACUUUCAAAGAGUCGGGUUGUUUGGGAAUGCAGCCCAAAACGGGAGGUAAAUUUCUUCUAAGGCUAAAUAUUGGCGAGAGACCGAUAGCGAACAAGUACCGUGAGGGAAAGAUGAAAAGAACUUUGAAAAGAGAGUUAAACAGUACGUGAAAUUGUCAAAAGGGAAGCGUUUGACACCAGUGUUGUUUUCUCGAAAAUCAAUUAAAAAUGGCUCGAUUUUGUAUUGCUGAGACCGUAAAAGCUCACUGUACAUUUUUCGUGUCUUUUUUAAUGCACUUUUCGUUUAACAAGUCAACAUCAGUUUCUUUUGUUGUAAAAGGGUCAUUGGAAGGUGGCUUUCUUUUCGGAGAAAGUGUUUAUAGCCUUUGGCCUCUGCAAUCGGAGAGACUGAGGUCUGCAGCGUAGACUCUUCGGGGUUAGAUACAUUUGUGCUAAGUUAUAGCUUUUUAUAGACAACUUGUUGACUAUAAUUAGUCUUGUAGCUUACUCGCUUAUGCUAUUUUACCUACGCUUAGGAUGUUGAGUAGCGACAUACGCAC